rnacentral:rRNA from 1 species
ACUAGGAUUCAUUUCCGAGUCUAUGUUUUCAUAUACCCUUUAUAAUUGAAGUCGAUGAAUGUAUUAGGCUUUGGCCAAUAAAACAAUACAACUUUCAACAAUGGAUCUCUUGGUUCUCGCAUCGAUGAAGAACGCAGCGAAUUGCGAUAUGUAAUGUGAAUUGCAGAAUUCAGUGAAUCAUCGAAUCUUUGAACGCACCUUGCGCCCUUUGGUAUUCCGAAGGGCAUGCCUGUUUGAGUGUCAUUAAAUUCUCAACUUCAACACUUUUUUGUAUUGAAGCUUGGAUGUUGGAGGGUCUUGCGGGCAUAUAUUAAUGUCAGCUCCUCUUAAAUGCAUUAGCAGAACCUGUGUUCGGCUCUGGUUUGAUAAUCCUAUCUAUGCCAUUGCUGAAAUGUCAUUGUUCAG